CUGUGUUCAGCCCAACCCCCCGGGGCUGAACAGACAAGACAACCCCCGCCUCCCCCCAGGCGGGGGUUGUCCACU
rnacentral:ncRNA from 1 species